UAGCCACGGGAAUACGUAGGGUGCGAGCGUUAAUCGGAAUUACUGGGCGUAAAGCGUGCGCAGGCGGUUGUGUAAGACAGGUGUGAAAUCCCCGGGCUCAACCUGGGAAUUGCAGUGGAUACUGGAUCACUAGAGUGUGGUAGAGGAUAGUGGAAUUUCCGGUGUAGCAGUGAAAUGCGUAGAGAUCGGAAGGAACAUCUGUGGCGAAGGCGACUAUCUGGGCCAACACUGACACUGAGGCACGAAAGCGUGGGGAGCAAACAGGAUUAGAUACCCCUGUAGUCCCUGUCUCUUAUACACA
rnacentral:rRNA from 1 species